GACAGAGGGUGCAAACGUUGUUCGGAAUUACUGGGCGUAAAGCGUGUGUAGGCGGUCUCGAAAGUCGGAUGUGAAAGCCCUGGGCUCAACCCAGGAAGUGCACCCGAAACUGUGAGGCUAGAGUAUCGGAGAGGUUGGUGGAAUUCUCGGUGUAGAGGUGAAAUUCGUAGAUAUCGGGAGGAACACCGGUGGCGAAGGCGGCGACCUGGGUAGAUACUGACGCUGAGGCGCGAAAGCGUGGGGAGCAAACAGG
rnacentral:rRNA from 1 species